ACGAACUCAAGAAAUCCAUCAAAGAACAGCUCCUUCCUUCCUCUUGAUCCCUUCCCCUCCUCUCUCAAUCCACGGCGAUGGCAAACUCAUUCCUCGAACGUCGGUGCUGCUUCGUCUACUGCUCUUGUUGAUGUCUUGCUGUGUUGAGGAUACAAGUAUAAAAUACAAUCAGAAGACAUAAGUGGCACGACCUUGUUACUGAAAAUAGAAAACCCAACAUUUGAGAUUGAUAUUUUUUAAAGCUAAUGCAUGUUUGUAUUG